rnacentral:lncRNA from 1 species
GCUUCACAGAAGGCUCCUCUAUACUUUGCACUCACAUCAGUGCCCACUGUAAGAUAGGGAGGCUCAUCGAUGGCCUUCAUGAUGAGCUCAGGCUGCGGUAAAACCCUCGGCGGGGGCUGAGCGGCCGAGACCGGACCUUUGUUCCGCGGCGCCCGCCCGCUGCUCCCCGACCCCAGGCGGGGGGGAGCGAAGGGAGCGGGGCGAAGCCUCCUCUCGGCUCCGGGUCCCCGUCACACCAGCUUCGGUUCCCGCUCGGCACUCCGUAACGGCUCUGCUCGCGGCUGCUGCGCGCGGCGGGGCCGAUCCGAUCCGUCCCGCCCGGACCCGGCGGCGGCGGCAGCGACUGCUGGGCUCGGAGCCUCUCGGUCCCCCUCCCCCUCCCGCACCGAGCGACUGACUGACGGACGGACGGGCCGGGCCACGCC